rnacentral:rRNA from 1 species
AUUGAACGCUGGCGGAAUGCUUUACACAUGCAAGUCGAACUGCAGCACGGGGCAACCUGGUGGCGAGUGGCGAACGGGUGAGUAAUACAUCGGAACGUGCCCAAUCGUGGGGGAUAACGUAGCGAAAGCUACGCUAAUACCGCAUACGAUCUACGGAUGAAAGCGGGGGAUCGCAAGACCUCGCGCGAAUGGAGCGGCCGAUGGCAGAUUAGGUAGUUGGUGGGGUAAAGGCUCACCAAGCCGACGAUCUGUAGCUGGUCUGAGAGGACGACCAGCCACACUGGGACUGAGACACGGCCCAGACUCCUACGGGAGGCAGCAGUGGGGAAUUUUGGACAAUGGGCGCAAGCCUGAUCCAGCCAUUCCGCGUGCAGGAUGAAGGCCUUCGGGUUGUAAACUGCUCUUGUACGGAACGAAAAGGCUCUGGUUAAUACCCGGGGCUCAUGACGGUACCGUAAGAAUAAGCACCGGCUAACUACGUGCCAGCAGCCGCCGCCG